rnacentral:lncRNA from 1 species
UAACUAUGAAAUGUAACAGCCUGUGAUCCAUACACAUGCUAUAUAGCAUUUUGCUGAUGUCGCAAAAUAGAACUGCAGAUUAGACUGAGAACAACACAUGAUAAAACAACAUUUCAUUGCUUAGCAGGCAAGCAAAGUGAAUUCUUGUCUGUCAUCUGAAGUGAUGAUUUCUCACAGAGAUGACAAUUUUAUGCUUUUAUUGUGGAGGAUCUCCGUUGUAUGUACUUGAGACGAGACUGAGAAAUUUGGAGGGCUUCAUACUUUUGUGAGAACCGGAUAAUGGGUUCUUAUAGCUUUAUUGGGAUGAUUAGUCAUGAGCAAAGUGAAUUCUUAUUUCUUAACAGAGAUGACGAUUAUAUGCUUUUAUUGUGUAGGAUCUCUGUUGCCUGUACACGAUCCUGAGAAAUUUGGAGGCCUUCAUACUUCUGUAAGAACCGGAUUAGGUGGUUCUUAUAGCUUUAUAGAGAUGAUUAGUGGUGUACUUGUGUGUGUAUUUUCCUUUUUCAAAGAUUUGUUGUCUCUGAAUACUGUAGUUAUUCAUCUUCAAUAUCAUCCCUGGAGUUUUGUCAAACUAGGCAACAUUGGUUGUACUUGGUUUGUGUUUUCUCUUUGUAAUAAUAAAGUGCAUUGGCUAGGCGUGUCACAUUAAAUUCUUGAUCUUGGUACAGAGUUCCGAAAGGCAAUACCAUUCUUCCUACUAAGAAAAUUCAUUAUUUGUUUAUAAAGAAUGGUUAAAGCUCUCGCACCCGCUAACCUACUAAGGACCAAGCUCAUGGCAUUCUUAGCCACACUUCUUACUGGAGUAGAAGUUUAAGAUGAGAAGUACUAGGCCAGCUAUUGACCUACCGGAGGACCAAUGGCUUCAUGUCACUCCCUACCAUCACCAUCCAAGUUCUUUUAUAAGGAGCGGUGCUUCUUUAAGCUAAAGAUGAAUAUCUUUUUACCAUAUUACUUCUCCUUUUUGAAAAAACCAUAUUACUUCUCUGCCUUGGAAUUACACAAUUCCAAUUUUGUACAUAAGUUAUUUGUGUCUCUACACACAUAGGGAUUGGAAAUUAAUAGCAAUGGGCAUAGGGGGCACCAGGAACUACCGAUGGAUCACAACAUUCAUUUCCUACCGACAUGCCUGUCUGUCAGAAUCAUUCGACAUGCCGCCAUCUCCUGCCAUCUUGAGAAAGCAACCGUUCUCCAAGCUUGGCUGGGAUGGAUGGCUAGAGAAAGCAGGCGUCACAGUCGCUAGAUGGAUCCGGAAGAACGAGAUAAGGUGGCUCGUAUAGUUUUAUAGGGAUGAGUAGUGUUGUAAUUCUAUGCGAUACAUUUUUUUUCAGGACUUGCUGUCUUUGAGUACUGUAGUUAUUCAUCUUCAAUGUCAUCCAUGGAGUUUAGUGAAACUAGGCAACAUUGGUUGU